rnacentral:rRNA from 1 species
UACGUAGGGGGCAAGCGUUGUCCGGAAUCAUUGGGCGUAAAGCGCGUGUAGGCGGUUCGGUAAGUCGGCUGUGAAAGUCCAGGGCUCAACCCUGGGAUGCCGGUCGAUACUGCCGGACUAGAGUUCGGAAGAGGCGAGUGGAAUUCCCGGUGUAGCGGUGAAAUUCGUAGAUAUCGGGAGGAACACCUGUGGCGAAAGCGGCGCACUGGACCACAACUGACGCUGAGGCGCGAAAGCUAGGGGAGCAAACAGG